AUCACAUUGCCAGGGAUUC
rnacentral:miRNA from 1 species